rnacentral:rRNA from 1 species
GCAGGGAAGAAGCCACAAGUGACGGUACCUGCAGAAGAAGCGCCGGCUAACUACGUGCCAGCAGCCGCGGUAAUACGUAGGGCGCAAGCGUUGUCCGGAAUUAUUGGGCGUAAAGAGCUCGUAGGCGGUUUGUCGCGUCUGCUGUGAAAGCCCGGGGCUCAACCCCGGGUCUGCAGUGGGUACGGGCAGACUAGAGUGCAGUAGGGGAGACUGGAAUUCCUGGUGUAGCGGUGAAAUGCGCAGAUAUCAGGAGGAACACCGAUGGCGAAGGCAGGUCUCUGGGCUGUUACUGACGCUGAGGAGCGAAAGCAUGGGGAGCGAACAGGAUUAGAUACCCUGGUAGUCCAUGCCGUAAACGUUGGGCACUAGGUGUGGGGGACAUUCCACGUUCUCCGCGCCGUAGCUAACGCAUUAAGUGCCCCGCCUGGGGAGUACGGCCGCAAGGCUAAAACUCAAAGGAAUUGACGGGGGCCCGCACAAGCGGCGGAGCAUGCGGAUUAAUUCGAUGCAACGCGAAGAACCUUACCAAGGCUUGACAUUCACCGGACCGCCUCAGAGAUGGGGUUUCCCUUCGGGGUCGGUGGACAGGUGGUGCAUGGUUGUCGUCAGCUCGUGUCGUG